rnacentral:rRNA from 1 species
CACGUAGGGGGCAGGCGUUAUCCGGAUUUACUGGGUGUAAAGGGAGUGUAGGCGGCUGUGCAAGUCAGAAGUGAAAGCCCGGGGCUUAACCCCGGGACUGCUUUUGAAACUGCAUAGCUUGAGUGCAGGAGAGGUAAGCGGAAUUCCUAGUGUAGCGGUGAAAUGCGUAGAUAUUAGGAAGAACACCGGUGGCGAAGGCGGCUUACUGGACUGAGACUGACGCUGAGGCUCGAAAGCGUGGGGAGCAAAC